UGAAACAUAGUCAUCAACUAAUACAUGUGCUAGUCUAAUAUUCAUGUGUGUCCUCACAUGAACUCCGACUAGGGACAACUUUAGAAUAACCAUACAAGUAAAUAGUUUCACAUACAAUUCACAUAAUUGCAAAUCAAUUCAAGUAGCCUUUAAUGGAUAUUCAAUGAACACAAUAUACAAAUCAUGGAUACAAAUGGAAUAUCAUCAUCUCUAUGAUUGCCUCUAGGGCAUACCUCCAACA
rnacentral:lncRNA from 1 species